UACGAAGAUGAAAUCAACAAGCGCAUGUCAGCAGAGAAUGAAUUUGUGAAUCUGAAGAAGGAUGUGGAUACUGCUUACAUGAAUAAGGUUGAUCUACAAGCCAAGGCAGACGCUCUCAUGGAUGAGAUCAACUUCCUCAGAGCCCUCUAUGAAGCAGAACUGGCUCAGGUGCAAACCCACGUCUCAGAUACUUCUGUCGUCCUCUCCAUGGACAACAACCGCACCCUGGACCUGGACAGCAUCAUCGCUGAAGUCAAAGCCCAAUAUGAGGAGAUCGCUCACAGGAGCCGGGAGGAGGCCGAGUCCUGGUACAAGUGCAAGUACGAGGAGCUGCAGGUUUCGGCGUUCAGAUAUGGGGACGACCUGCGCAACACCAAGCAGGAGAUCUCUGAGAUCAACCGCAUGAUCCAGAGGCUGAGAUCUGAGAUCAACCACGUCAAGAAGCAGUGCACCAACCUGCAAUCCGCCAUCGCCGAUGCAGAGCAGCGUGGGGAUAUGGCCCUCAGGGAUGCCAAGAACAAGCUGAUCGAGCUGGAGAAUGCCCUGCAGAAGGCCAAGCAGGACAUGGCGCAGCUACUGAGGGACUACCAGGAGCUCAUGAAUGUCAAGCUGUCCCUGGACGUGGAGAUCGCCACCUACAGGAAGCUGCUGGAGGGCGAGGAGUGCAGGUGAGUAACUCACACAGCCUCCUCAAACAUCUGGGUCCGUCUCCAAGGUGUCCAGCCA